UGUACACUGCUGGGUCAUAUGGUGACUCUAUGUUUAACUUUUUGUGGAACUCCCAAACUGUGUUCUAAAGUGGCUGCACCUAUAUACAAUUCCAUCAGCAGU
rnacentral:pre_miRNA from 1 species